AACCCAUGGUAAGGGCACCUUCUUAGUAAGUUAUUGUAUCUCUCCCAUGCAUCGUAAACUAUUUCUAAAUCCAUCUGCACAAAAGAAGAAAUAUCAUUACGUAAUUU
rnacentral:snoRNA from 1 species